rnacentral:rRNA from 1 species
UACAGAGGUCCCAAGCGUUGUUCGGAUUCACUGGGCGUAAAGGGUGCGUAGGUGGUGGGGUAAGUCGGAUGUGAAAGCUCGGAGCUCAACUCCGAAAUGGCAUUGGAAACUACCCUGCUAGAGGAUUGGAGGGGGGACUGGAAUACUUGGUGUAGCAGUGAAAUGCGUAGAUAUCGAGAGGAACACCUGCGGCGAAGGCGGGUUGCUGGGCUGACACUGACGCUGAACUGCGAAAGCUAGGGGAGCAAACAGG